CAACAAGUCGCGCGCGGCCAAUGUGAAAUACCGCAAAUAAUAAGGGAUAACACGACAAAGGUUAACGUGACUUUCCGAUUUAAACUCCACGCACUUCAGGAAAUCACCAAAAAUCCGGAGAAAAUGAACGGGACGCAGGCUUUCCACUAGAUUUUGGAGCAUGGCUGUGGGGACUUGUGUUCAUUCAGCCGCAGGAGCAUCAGUGAGGUCUGCACUGAUGUUGGUCGCGGAGGUCUGGAGUGCAGUCGGUGUUCCAGAUCAUCCUAAAAGUGUUCAGGUCAGGGGCUGCAUGCAGGACACUCGAGUUCUUCCACUCCAACCUUGGCAAUCCAUGUUUUCAUGGACCUCCCUUUGUGCACAGGGGCGUUGUUAUGCUGGAACAGGUUUGGGUCUCUUUAUUCCAGUGAAGGGAAAUUUUAAUGCAACAGCAUACAAAGACAUUCUAUAUAACUGUGUGAUUCUAACUUUAUGGCAACAGUUUAAGGAAGGCCUACAUGUGGGUGUGAUGUUCAGGUAUGCACAAACUUUUGGCCAUAUAGUGUAUCUUUCGGUAAAAUAAAACAAGAGUAAACAUUCAAGAGCAGCCUUAAAACCGCAACAUGCACAACAGCAACCAAAAAUCAAUACAGAGCCUGAGAGAGAGAGAGAGAGAGAGAGAGAGAGAGAAAGCAUGUGUGUAAUGGGUUACAGCACAGCAUAGCUUACACAGUAGUUAAUGCUAUUUGUAUGUAAAGUACUUUUUACUUUGCUGUACAAAUUUUAAUUUAGUACAUAAAUAGACAUUAUUAUUCAUUCCUCAAUCUUCAGUAACCGCUUUUGUCCUGGGCAGGGUCACAGAGUCUAUCCAGAGAACCCGGAGGAACUACAGAAACCAGAGGAAAGCCAUGCAAACACAGAGAGGACCUGCAAAGAAAUUUCACUCAGACAGCAACGCCAGCUCAGGAUCAAACCAGGGACCCUAGAGCUGUGAGCUCUACACUGCCUGACGUACAACCCUUCCACUCAUCUCUGUGUUCAAAGUUGCCUAAAUCUCUACCUCUCUGCUUGGUCAUACGCAUAUCUCCUGGCCCUGGGUGUUUCAGAGCACACAACACAGACACACAGCAGAAUGAAAUCACAGCCAAUGCUGUAAAGAGGACAACAUUUAUAACAGGCUCUGGGAAUAUCAGUUCCAUGGUUUCAUGCAGGCCAUAUCCAAAGGCUGCCAACCAAGCUGGUACAACUGCUGCAAUCCGGUACUUUAUAUCCUUAUAUCUCAAGAAUGUUACUGGAUGAAGCACUGCCAAGUAUUGUUCAAUACAAAUGCAGGUUUGUAUCAGCGGUCUUCCAGUCCAGCACAGGCCAAAAAUAAAAGUGACUGCAACUAACAAUUUGUCAUUCUUGAAGCAAAACACAUACAGUAUUUCAAGAGCACAUUCCAUGCAGAAGAGAAGCUCCAUUAUUGUGUGAUUCAGAAGGAAAAUUACACUUUGUUUGCUUUUCCAGUCAAAGUGAUGAUAGGACCAGAGACACCACAAAUGGGCUGGUGUUCCCACAAUGAAGCAGAGUAGCAUAACAGAGUAGCACAAUAUAAUUUCAAACAUAUUGUCAUUUAAACAAUCACUUGUACCCAGUGGAGACAAAGCUGAAGUGAAAUUGAUGAACUCUUCAGAUGUGUUUUCCAUCCUGUGUUAUUUCUGUUCUGCAGAGAGAGACAGUAAGGGAAUGUAUGAGGACAUGGAAAAAGCAAAUAUAUCCGCACAGCUAAUGUUUGCAUAUGCAGAGUCAGUGUGAAUAAUGAGACAGGAAAUGGCUCAAAGUCUUUAAAAAUAUGAAUUUUUCAUUUUUUUAAGGCAAACUUCAUAAAAUAUUGCAUAAAAUAAACAUUUCUUUUUGUUAUGCAACAUGAGUUCUUAAACACCACAAUAAUUGAAAGGACUUAACAUGCCCGAAUUCUGCUGCUAAAACAUUUGACUAAAGAAAAAGGAUGAAUCUCUGAGAAGAGGUUUUAAAGUGGAGGAACCUGAGAAUUUUGUGGAUAAAACUGAUUUGUGAAAGAUAUAAUGGCCAACAAAUGCAAAAAUUGCGAUCUAGAAAAUGGAACUAAUCACCCCAAAAACAGGAAGAAGAUUCUGCUACAGACAGACAGAUAUAUGGAUGAUCUUUUUGCACCUUGAUCUGAGUUUGCCUCAGUCCAUCAACAGCAAACUAGACAUACUCGAAUCUAUACAUAAGGAGAUGGAUGAUUUACAAAUAGCCUUGGCACAUCUAAGCCAAAUUUGACACCAUCGGGAACAAGAACGCAGUACACAUGCACAAUACACUG